rnacentral:lncRNA from 10 species
GCCCAGGGGUUUGAGGCUGCAGUGAGCUGUGGUCAUGCCACUGCCCUCCAGCUUGGGUGACAGAGUGAGACCCAGUUUCAGGGAAAUAAAAAGGGAGGGAGGUAUGUAAAGAAGAACAGUAAUCAGUAAUCAGUAAACAGUAAUCAGGGCCGGGCGCAGGCUCACGCCUGUAAUCCCAGCACUUUGGGAGGCUGAGGCGGGCGGAUCACAAGGUCAGGAGAUCAAGACCAUCCUGGCUAACAUGGUGAAACCCCGUCUCUGCCAAAAAUACAAAAAAAUUAGCCAGGCGUGGUGGCGGGUGCCUGUAGUCCCAGCUACUCAGGAGGCUGAGGCAGGAGAAUGGUGUGAAUCUGGGAGGCGGAGCUUGCAGUGAGCCGAGAUUGUGCCACUGCACUCCAGCAUGGGUGAUAGAGCAAGACUCCAUCUCAGAAAAAAAAAAAAAAAAAAAGAACAGUAAUCAAGUGAGACAAUAUUCCCCCAUAUUGGCUCCAUGAUAACGUUUAUGUGCAUCAGGUGGGGGCCAGGAAACAAGAUCGACCACGACAAUGAUAAUAAUAGUGAUAGGAGCAAGGAUAUUCAGCAGCGUGAACUCAGCAGGUGUGGACCCUCUUCCGGGAACACGUGCAUCUCCCUUACCUGAGCCUGGAGUCAGCAGCCCUCCCAGUCACUGCCCCCAAAUGCAGCUCCCAUGCCCUCCUGGGGCUUGUGUGCUCAGGUAGUGUGGGUGAGCAUGGGGCGAGGGCAUGGCCACAGGACCUUGUUGUUCCU